CCGAUGCGAAUUUAUGUUGAUUGGUAUCCUUUUAAUCCAAUCCUAUAAAUUAGGUCUUCUUCGUCCUCCAGAUGCAGGUUCUUCCUAAAAAAUUCGCGGGAUCGAGUGCCAAGAUGGCGAGUCGCCGCUUGUUUCAGAGAUCGACGAGCCUACUCGGCGGCGCUCAUGCGUCUGCCGCUAGGGCCGCCGCUGCUCCGCCUGCAAGGUACUUCAACAUAUUCCCAUGCUCCCAUGCUGAUGCUAAAACAAGCUUGACAACAAUUGGAAUGCCAUCAACUAUCAUGAAUGGCAUGAAGCCAGCUUUUCUUGAUUUUGCUGGAGGAGUGAAGCGAACAUUUUCAUCGAGUGCACCCAAAUCCAACAACCACAAAUUUGCUAGGGAGACCGAAAAGGCUGCACGGUAAGCUCAAGAUGCACCUUUCAAUCCAGAAGCAGUGUAUGAAACUGCAAAAAGAGAUGCGGAUACUAUAGUCUUGAUGAGUUUUUGUUUCUUUAAUUUUUUCUAUUUGUAUACCCUUGAUAAUGCAAGGAGUAACAACAGUUCAAGUCGUUGCUUAAAUUGCUGCAACUGCCCGUGCCAGGGUUCAAAUCCUAAAGUUCAACAAGAUUAGGAGCUGCCAGUACCAUGAGGCGGCUGUGUUAUGUUUUGUUGGACAAGACCACCCGUCUAUCCCUCUGACUUUCUGUUCUUAAUCGAAUGCUCCCAAUGCCAGCUAAUGGCAGAGAAAACGUCUGGAGGUCCUGGAAGUAGUGUGCUUGCGUUGUCACUAUUUCCUGAUGCUACUUGUAAUCAAUAUUUAUUGUUGGGUUUAUCCACUGAAUGAUACCUUACCCUA